UAGUUAUAUUAAUUUAAGAGUGCGGUGCCGUUUGACAACAUCAUAUUAAUAAUAUAUUUUUUUACGAUCGCAUUAUCGAUCAAUUAAUUCAUACGACUAACUGCAGCGGUUCAGGUGCCAUCGCACGGAGUCGACAAUAUUAUAACAAAAUGAGACGCACGCCAUGGCAUACCUAGGCACCUAGCUAACCUUGAUAGCCGGCUAUCUAAUAUAGUAUUCGGAUACGUUUUAGGUCGUUGCCGAUGUUGCUGCGGUACAAUCAUGACAUUAUUAUUAUUAUUAUUUAACGCAGACACUUUCUAUGUCGGUGCCUACUACUACAGUACUACCUAGGUAUACGGUUACCCGGGUGUACUGUGAGAGCCGAAGCCGAGAGGUAGGUCGUAGGUGCUGCAUUUGGUUUGGUUGUCCAUUGCCUACGUACAGAGAGCCGUACGCCCAUUUACCGUUUUUUAAGUCGUGCGUAAUGCAUAGUCACUGCAGCGUACCUAGUCCCGGCGGCUAGUCGCACGUCGUUCGACCGUAAGUAUUACGUGACGAGAAAUAUUCAAAUCGACCAAAUCUCGUGAUCUAGUUUGUUCUUUUUUUUUUUCUUAGAUUAUUCAUAUGGUCGUAAUAUUGUUAUCGUUUUUUACGAUUUUCGUACGGUUCGACAUACGUACACUUCAUAUUAGAAUAUAGGUAGGUAGGUCGUAUUGGUGUAUUUCGCGGCCGUCGGGGCGUAGUGCGCUGUGAUCUCGAAAAAUCGUCGAUCGUUUCGUUUUCAUGUCAGAGGUAUAGGUACAUCGCAAGUAUAUUAUUCAUAAAACAAGUGGAGUUUUCAAACUUAAAAAAUAGUUCGUUCGACGUAUACAUUAUAUUAUUAUAAUUUAUAAUAUUAUUCGCGGCGGUGCGAAUGCGAAAUAAUAUUAAUAUUGUGCGAAGUGGGACCGAGAUGCGCAAGCGUACAUGAAAUCCGGCUGAACCCGCGCAGACCGGUGGUGACGGCGGCGGCAGACAGUCAGUGGUUUGAAAAGAAAAAAAGUGGAAAAUUGUUCAUCAUCGAUCGUCGCUAACUUCAACACCCGAAACCGUUCCUAUUAUCAACACCUGUGAUUCAUGAAGACUAGUGAUAAUUUUUCGGGUUCUGUUAUUAUUUUGUAGAUACUUAGUUAUUGUAUAAUGUUAUUAUUAUUAUGCGUUUUUUAAAUAUCGCAAAAAUGUUCUGUUAUAGAAUUUACUCGUCGUGUAUUUUUUCGCGUUAAAACGGACGGUACCACGGUUUCCGCCCUUUCCUUUAGAUUACCUGGUCGACCUUUGAACAAAACACCCACCCGUGAAUCACUUACAUG